rnacentral:misc_RNA from 1 species
CUCGCGAGCGGCUCUUCAGGUUUUCAGCUCGUCAACAAUAUCGAGCCGCGACUUGGAAUUCUAGUGAAGAGACUUAUCGCUCGUUUCCACUGAAAAUUGUCGGAGUUUCGUCGGAAUUUUCCAAGCUUCGUCACGUCACGGGGUCAAGUUCACGGGGACUCGUUACUUUAUUUGAAGACAAACGGAUCUCUUCUGAAUGGAAACCGGCUCGCGAACCUCUUUCUUCCCUUCCCCCCCUCCCUCCCGGAAUUCUUGCAGUCGACCGUUUACUAGGUAUCCCUCGUCUCUCCAGCUGGUGAUGGUUGCGUGCCACGUGGUGCGGCGAGAGCGAGGUGGAGCGGCGCGACGCUCAAUGCAGACUCAGUGCCCGCGCAGACGUUGUCGCGGUCAGUCAGCCGUUCCUUCGUGGUGUUGUGCGUUUGGUGAGUGCGUGUGAUCGGUACAUGCGUGCGAUGGGGUUCUGAGUAGGAGCAGAUAGUUAUAUUCGAAGAGUCACUUGGUUAUUGGACCGGCAAGUUGAUCAUCCUCGGCACUCCUCGCACCGAUUGUCAUCGGCGUGUACUUUGUCUCCUCGAUGACAGUAAUAUUGAUGACAGCGAAAAAUGAUUCUUGACACGCCGAUGGUACUAUGAAAAUCUCAGUAAGCCGCAUUAUUUAAAGAGAAAUGUUGAAGAUUAUGAAAAAGAAGAAAUGAUUUUAUUUGAAAUUACUCCCGGGGAAUCGCAAACACAGCUUAAUUGCGCACUUAAAGAUAAUUCUCAAGAGCUGACGGACACUCGCACGAGUACCGAUCGGCAGCCGAUACAUUCUGCAGUCGUCCGUGGAGGAUCAUCAACAAUCUAUACGAAUUAGAUAAAAUCGACAUAAGUGAGUGUAGAAACUGAUAGAUAUCCGCAAGAAGCCGCGCGAUACGUGAAGUGUUAAUUACGAUAAAACUGAUUGUAAUCGCGUGCAAAGUAGUUGCGAAUUAUAUCGGGUGGCAAUUUCGGGAGAGACAGUCAUCGCAGCACCUGAUGACUAUGCAAUCGUGGUGACACCUAAGAACACUAGAAUCGUAGUCUGUGAACCGUUUGAGUGCUGAAGAAGUUCCUUAUUCGUGGAAAAAAAAGAUUGUUCCAAAGUUGGAGUGAGACCGUGCUGGUGAUAUCGUGCGUCUGAUAAGCCGAUCGAUCGAUCGACCCGUUCGUUCUAAUUAAAGUGAUAGCUCCCGUGGCAAGUUGAUGCCGCGUGCAAGGACCGAUGGAUACAACGAAGCGCAAGUCGAAGCCGAAUCCGAGAGAAAAGGCGAAUAUCAUCUCGGUGUUGCUAUGGUGGUGGACCCUCAGCUUGUUCAAGACAGGCUACAAGAAAGUUCUGGAAGUAGAGGACCUCUUUGAUCCCCUCAAGGUCGACCGAUCGACUCUGCUCGGAGAUCGAUUAGAAAAACGAUGGAGUAUCGAACUGGAAAAUUCCAAGAAAAGCAAGCGCAAACCGAGUCUGCUGAGGACCAUUUUUCGCACGUUUUUAUGGGAAUACGCCGUACUGGGGAUGAUACAGAUACUCAACGAGUUCGUGAUAAGAUUAGGCACGCCGUUACUAUUAGGUGGUCUCCUGCGCUACUUUCGGAAGGAUUCCGUGGAGGUUUACGAAAGUGCCUUAUGGUAUGGAGCCGGUAUUUGCGUAGCAACCGCCGUAAACGUUCUAAGUGGAAAUCAGGCGAUUUUUGGUGCUUUUCAUGUAGGCGCCAAGGUCCGCGUGGCCGUAUGCUCUGUUGUCUAUAGAAAGGCUUUACGUUUGAACAAAAGCGCAUUAGGCGAUACCGCACCGGGGAAAGUGGUCAAUCUGGUAGCCAAUGAUGUUAAUAGGUUUGAUCUCGUCUCCAUCUUCAUUCAUUACAUGUGGUCGGCACCCACGUCUGCUCUGGUCAUCGCCUAUAUUCUGUAUCACGAAGUCGGCUACGCUGGUCUUAUUGGAAUCACCGCUGUCUUCGUGGUCGUGCCGCUCCAAUCCUACACCGGCAAGCUGUCAUCCAAGUUCCGACAACAGACUGCGAUUAAGACGGACGAACGAGUGCGGCUGAUGGAGGAGAUCAUUUCCGGGGUGCAGGUGAUCAAGAUGUACGCAUGGGAAAAACCGUUCUGCGCGAUGGUGGAGCUAGCGCGGAAAUUGGAGCUGCGUGUCGUCACCAAAAGCUCCUACAUCCGUGGAAUCUACAUGACUUUCAAUCUCUUCACGACUCGUAUGGCACUCUACUGCACGUUUAUCUCGAUGUUGCUGCUCGGCGAAGAAGUUACCGCUGACAAGAUCUUCGUCGUCUCGUCCUACUUCAACAUCCUCGCGCAAACCAUGACCGGUAUGUUCGUGCGUGGUUUCGCCGAGCUGGCCGAGUGCAAUGUGGGCAUACGCCGGUUACAACAUUUCCUCCAGCACGAGGAAUUCCAGGGUAGCAACAUCAUCCCCAAGAGACUGUCCAUGUCCGGCAGCAGUAUCAAGUCGGAUCACAAUAGGCACUCCUUGACGGACCUGCCUUACAUCGACGACGACAACGUCGUGGAAACCUGCGAGAGCCAGAGCGAUGACCGCAAGAUGAAUGGAUUGGUGAUUGUCGCCAACGAUUUGCUGAAAAAUACGGCCAAUCUUGUGGGAGAGAAGAGACGUUCGUCCACGUACGACUGGGCAAUCAAGAUGAUCAACGUGACCGCCACGUGGAACGUCGGAUCGGAAGAGAAAACGCUGCAGGACCUAAAUUUGAACAUAGAGAAGGGCAAGUUGUACGCGGUGAUCGGCAUGGUGGGCAACGGCAAGAGUUCUCUCUUAUCCGCGAUCCUGGGCGAGAUGUAUCUGACAGAGGGUCAGGUGAAGGUCAACGGCAACAUCAGUUACGCUAGCCAGGAAGCCUGGGUCUUCGGCUCCACCGUUCGACAAAACAUCCUCUUCGGAGAACCGUACGACCGCCAACGUUAUCAUAAAGUGGUGAAGGCCUGUGCUCUGUUGCGUGACUUCAAGCAGUUCCCGCAGGGUGAUCAGACUAUCGUAGGCGAACGCGGUAGCUCACUAUCCGGUGGUCAGAAGGCCAGAAUCAAUUUGGCUAGAUCAUUGUACAGGCAAUCAGACGUUUACUUGCUGGACGAUCCUUUAAGCGCGGUUGAUGCGCACGUGAGCAAACAUCUAUUCCAAGAGUGCAUUCAGAGGUAUCUAGCCGGGAAGACGAGGAUCUUAGCCACGCAUCAGUUGCAAUAUAUAAAAGCAGUGGACGCCAUUAUACUGCUCGAACAAGGACAAAUAAAAUACUUUUCAAACUAUCAGGAUCUACUGGAGUAUCGGCCUGAGUACAGGGUACUCUUGGUGGCGGAGAACGAGAAGAGCGACGAGUCAGACAUAGAAAAGACUAUAAAUAUAAGACGACAAUUUUCCUCCUCAAGUAACAGAAGUCGUACUCCGGAAGCCAGCAGCGGCGGCACCGAUGACGAAGAGGAAAACGAGGAUAUUCAGAAUCAGAACAACGGUUUGGAAAAGACGUCGCGCGGCAUAGUUAAAGGACCUAUAUUCAUCAAGUUUUUCCAGACUGGCGCCAACUUGAUCAUGGCUUCUGUCGUCCUGUUCCUGUUCGUUAUCACGCAAGUCAUCGUCAGUCUUAACGACUACUUUGUGCCUUUCUUAGUAAACACGGAAGAAACACGCAACUACUGGUCCAGGCUUCAGAGUAACAAUCAGACAAUGGACGAUUAUUCGAAUGCGACCGCAACGGACGUUCCCGCUGAUGACGAUCUGAUGGCAGUGAACACGUAUAUCUACAUCUACACCGGCAUCGUACUAAGUAUCUUCUUCGUCGGCAUCACCAGGUCGCUAGUAUUCUACACGACAUGCAUGAAGUGCAGUCAACGUCUCCACGACAUGAUGUUUAGCGCACUGAUUCGCACGGGGAUGCGUUUCUUUGACAUGAAUCCAAGCGGCAGGAUCCUCAAUCGAUUUUCCAAAGAUAUGGGUGCCAUCGACGAAUUACUUCCCAAAUCGAUCCUAGACGCUGGUCAGCUCACUCUGAUGAUGUUGGGUGCCUUGACAGUGACUUGCGUCGUGAACCCCAUCUUUCUGGUGCCUGUUGUGAUCACCAGUUUCAUAUUCUAUUGGAUCCGCAAAGUCUACCUGAAAACUAGCAAGAACAUCAAGCGAUUGGAAGGAAUAACACGAUCGCCGGUAUUUACUCAUUUAAACGCCACAUUGAACGGAUUGACGACCAUUAGAGCGUACUGCGCCCAAGAUAUACUCAAACGGGAAUUCGACAAGUUGCAGGAUCAACACACGUCUACCGCGUACAUGUACAUCGUGACCAGCACAGCCUUUGGAUUUUCUCUCGAUAUAUUCUGCUUUAUUUUUACUUCCCUCGUUACAUUCAGCUUUGUGGUACUCAGUCAAUCAUUUUCCGGAGGUGAAGUCGGAUUGGCUAUCACCCAAGUAAUGGCGCUAACUGGAAUGAUUCAGUGGGGAAUGCGGCAGAGUGCAGAGGUAGCCAACCAGAUGAUGGCGGUGGAACGUGUGCUAGAAUACAUUCAGCUAGAACCCGAACCAAAUUUGAAGGACAGAGGGACAGAGUUCCCGAAGAACAAAGGAAGCCAAAGCCUGGCAUUGCCAGUCAACGUGUCCGACACUUGGCCCGGCGAAGGCCGCAUCCAAUUCAGGAACGUCUACAUGCGUUACGAGGAGAACGAAGAAGCUGUUCUCAAGGGCCUUAACUUGGUGAUUUUACCUGGAGAAAAGAUUGGUAUCGUGGGAAGAACCGGUGCAGGGAAGUCGUCGUUGAUAGCGGCACUCUUCCGAUUAGCGAUAGUGGAGGGCGUCAUCGAAAUUGACGGUACAGACACGGGUUCGAUCGCCCUGGAGGAUCUGCGACGCAAGAUAUCUAUUAUUCCUCAAGAUCCCGUCUUAUUCUCGGGCACUCUCAGGCGUAACUUGGAUCCUUUUAACGAGUACACUGACAAUGACUUGUGGGAGGUACUCGAAGAGGUUGAGUUAAAGGAGGCGAUCCUCAAUACCGGGAAAGGCUUGGAGAGUCGCGUGUACGACAGAGGUAGUAAUUACAGCGUCGGGCAGAGGCAGCUUGUCUGCUUGGCAAGAGCUAUCCUGAGGAACAAUCGUAUAUUGAUGCUGGACGAGGCAACCGCGAACGUGGAUCCGCACACUGAUUCAUUGAUUCAACGCACGAUCAGGAAGAAGUUCGCAACCUGUACGAUGCUCACAGUUGCGCAUCGACUAAAUACUAUAAUGGACAGCGACAAGGUUCUGGUCAUGGACAAGGGUCAUCGAGCUGAAUUCGACCAUCCUCACAUGCUAUUGCAAAACCGCUGGAGUCAAUUCACUUCGUUGGUGAGGGAGACCGGUCCGGGCAUGUACGAACAACUGGUGAAGGUGGCGAAGCAGGCAUACGCAGAUAAACACGAAGAGAUAUGACGAAACACGCAGGUAGAUUUCUGAAAUUUGCCAAACUUGUGUCAAUUAAUUAACAACUCUUCCAAACUACGGCUGUAACAAUAAUCUAGGUAAAACUAGUAAUAGAUAGAUCAAAAUGAGUCUAUUAAUGUGCCUCCGAUAUUUUUUUAAAUGUGAAAACAAUACUUGAGUGUGUUCGAGGAAGGCGUACACGGUGCACGUAAACGAACCCUUCUAAUAAUGACUUUAUUAUUCCUUAAUUUCUUAUUCAUUUUGACAGACUAAUGAUUAAUUAAACGAGCGUGCACCGCAGUGUGCCUUUUCUUCCGGAACGUUUUGCGAUAUGGUACUUCCGUUUAGUAUUAAUACAGAAUGUGAUGUUAUAUCAAACGCGUGCGAAGAACUGUAUUUGCGAGGGGUCACAUUAUCACACCCUUGACAUCGAAAAUUACUGCCGAUCUCGUGACGUCGAUUAGACAACGAGCCAGAUACGGUAUUAGGAUACGAAUUCUUUCACCGAGUUUACGUAAUUCCAAAAUGCAAACAACCGGAUGUCUCUAGUUGUCUUGAUAUGUUGAUCGUAAGGUGUCCGGAACGAGGGUGGACUAUAUUAACCGAGGCAAUAAAGCUCAUUAGCGCGAUUGCCAGGAAAUAUUUGCGAACCUAACUGGCCUUGAUCUCGAUCGCGGCAUUCAGGAAUCCGUUUUGCAAACAUACGAUAAUUAUCUGCGAAAUUUAUGUACUUUCUCCAGGGAUUUAAUGCGCAAAUCCAGUGAGUAAAUCCGUGAUUUAUGUUUAAUUAACUAAACUUGUUGAUAUACGUAUAAUUAAGAGAAUUGACAUUUAAUUACGAGAUGAUAAUGAAAUUGUGUUACUCUCUGCUUUUUUUCAAAGAAGAUUGAAUGAGGUGUAGAUCUGCGCGUCACGAAAACACGUAGUUCAUUCUGGACGACAUCAAACAAAUAUUUAUAAUUAACGCACAAAUAAAUACUCCAACUUAGAACGAACACUUAACGAGACGAUACUUAAUUUUUACUAUUUCAUACAAAUGCAAGGGGAGACGAGCUCAAACUUACUUUUGUAAACUGCAUUUACUGAUGCAACUAUGUACUAUACUAUGCUGAAAGUAUCGAGAUAUUAUUUAGAUAUUAUUGCUAUUAAAGACAAAGUAAAUAAGCGUGCGAGAGAGAGAGAGGAAGAAUGUAACAUAUAUAUAUGUAUAUGAUAUAUAUGUAACAUAUAUGCAAUAUAUGCGUAAUUGUAAUAUAUGUAAUAUAUUAAUAUAUAUAAUAUAUAUAUGUAAUAUAUAUGUAAUGCAAUGUAAUGUAAGGACUGUCAUAUUAUGUAAUAGCAAAUUAACAAUGCCACAUGUGUUAUUAAUUUUAAAUACAUAAUAUAAUUGGAACAUAUCAUAUACAUUUAUAAAUUUAAUACCAUACCAUGUGGUAUUAUUAUUUAAUAUAUGUUUUGAUGUGGAAUGUUGAGAUAUAAUAUAUUUUAUUAAUUCAUCAGUACUAACGUAAGUAAUAGCCGUGAAAGCCUAAAGUCAGAAUUUAUUAAUGUAUAUUUAAUAAUAUAUUAUAUUUUAAUACAUUAGAAUAAACAUUUUACACGUGCGAUAACCGGCACUGUAUAACGAGUGUUUCGUUAUGACCAAGGCAGUUAAUUAUAUACAUAUAUAUGUACACAAAACACACACAUAUAUACAUUCUGAAGUACAAGCCGCUGUAUUAUAAAGUGCUUACAUUAAGUGAAUUGGAUAUUGUUGUUGAGUAAAAUAAAAUUGUCACACAUAAACGUAUAGUAAGUUUGCGAUGUGAGGAAUGCGUGUAUGUAUGAAAUAUUGUAUAUAAGUAAUUAACCAAAGUGCAAUGGAAUAUAAAAUAAAGAUUUGAUAUCAUAA